CCAGCUAAGACCCUCCCUUUGCUUAGCUCCUCCUCCUGCCCCCCCCCCCAUCCCUUUCCCCUGCGUGGCCUCCUUCUCUCAGUCGUGCUCCCCACCCCGAUCUCAGACUCUGCUUCUAGGGAAGGUGACCUGAGACGCUUGGCCUCGAAGGGGUUUGAUUAUUCUCUACCGCCCGUCUGAAGAAGCAGAGACGCCGAGACUCGAUGGAAGCGAGAAGGCCAGGUUUCAUGCUUGGAAUCGCACGUUCUAAAGGAAGUUUCUUAAUAACUUGGCACCACCAUCUGUGAAACAGCGACACUCUAAUGAGCACUCUGUCCUGUCCCCAGGGGAAGACCCUGCAGAAUUUCACAUCCGUAGCCUCAUCUUGCAUGGUGACAGAGAUAUCCUUUCAGGCCAGUUGCCAACUCUGAGAAGUCUCCGAAAGAAAUAGCACCUUGACGGAACUGCAGAGAAGAAACUUCCCGUGAUUCUGCAAAGCACAAAGCAGCCACAGGUGAGGCCUGGAUCCAUGUGAGGGAGCCUGCGAGGGAGCCCGCGGUUGUCCAGGUGGGCCUUUGGACCGCACAGGACUUCUUGUAACCUGAGCAAAGUAGCAUGUGGCGGUCUCAGGUUUUCAAGUGACCGUCCCUGGGUUCCUACUCUGUCUGUCAUUCUCUUGCUGUCUGAGCUGCAACCUCUUGGACCUCUGCUUCCCUCCUGAGUGAAAUGGCUCACACACUCGUGCCUUGCUCACAGUGUUGUUGGAAGGACCAAAGGAUAUUCAUAAAACCAUGUCUGGCUCUUAGGAAGCACUUCAUAAAUAUAGCCAUUAUUAUUAUCUGUUCUUGUUAUCUGGGAUGGUUUUUCCUAAAUAAUUUUUAUUAAUAAGCAG